UGUUGGGUUGACGAACCUGACAUGGGAGUGACUGAAUAAUCUUUCUGGCAUAUAGCUGGAUAAGGUGAUGAGACACAGGUGGUGCUGCUGCGAAAGCAGAAUCGUCUUACCAGACGGGUCUCAGGCAAGGACGUAAAAUUUACUACUGUAGUAAUGCCCGUUCUUUGUUGGUAAUACAGGAAUCCAACCUCCCACCCC
rnacentral:ncRNA from 1 species